rnacentral:rRNA from 1 species
AUUGAACGCUGGCGGCAGGCCUAACACAUGCAAGUCGAACGAGUGGCGGACGGGUGAGUAAUGUCUGGGAAACUGCCGGAUGGAGGGGGAUAAAUACUGGAAACGGUAGCUAAUACAGCAUACCAUCGGAUGUGCCCCGGUGGGAUUAGCUAGUAGGGGGGGUAAAGGCUCACCUCGGCGACGAUCCCUAGCUGGUCUGAGAGGCUGACACGCCACACGGGAACUGAUAAACGGGCCAGAUGCCGACGGGAGGCAGCAGUGGAGAAUAGUGCACAAGGGGCGCAAGCCUGAGGCAGCCAUGCCGCGUGGAUGAAUAAGGCCUUCGGGGUGGAAAGGACUUUCAGCGGGGAGGCGUUACCCGCAGAAGAAGCACAGGCUAACGCCGUGCCAGCAGCCGCGGUAAUAC